rnacentral:tRNA from 1 species
GGGCAAGUGGCGAAACGGUAAACGCAGCAGGUCGAGAACCUGUGGGGAGUAAAAUCCCUUGGGAGUUCGAAUCUCCCCUUGCCUA